rnacentral:rRNA from 1 species
UACGAAGGGGGCUAGCGUUGCUCGGAGUCACUGGGCGUAAAGGGUGCGUAGGCGGGUCUUUAAGUCAGGGGUGAAAUCCUGGAGCUCAACUCCAGAACUGCCUUUGAUACUGAAGAUCUUGAGUUCGGGAGAGGUGAGUGGAACUGCGAGUGUAGAGGUGAAAUUCGUGGAUAUUCGCAAGAACACCAGUGGCGAAGGCGGCUCACUGGCCCGAUACUGACGCUGAGGCACGAAAGCGUGGGGAGCAAACAGG